rnacentral:rRNA from 1 species
AACGAACGCUGGCGGCAGGCUUAACACAUGCAAGUCGAACGCCCCGCAAGGGGAGUGGCAGACGGGUGAGUAACGCGUGGGAAUCUACCGUACCCUACGGAAAAACAGUUGGAAACGACUGCUAAUACCGUAUACGCCCUUAGGGGGAAAGAUUUAUCGGGGUAUGAUGAGCCCGCGUUGGAUUAGCUAGUUGGUGGGGUAAAGGCCUACCAAGGCGACGAUCCAUAGCUGGUCUGAGAGGAUGAUCAGCCACAUUGGGACUGAGACACGGCCCAAACUCCUACAGGAGGCAGCAGUGGGGAAUAUUGGACAAUGGGCGCAAGCUUGAUCCAGCCAUGCCGCGUGAGUGAUGAAGGUCUUAGGAUUGUAAAGCUCUUUCACCGAUGAAGAUAAUGACGGUAGUCGGAGAAGAAGCCCCGGCUAACUUCGUGCCAGCCGCCGCGGUAA